UUUUAAGACUGUGGUAGAAAGUGAAUUAUUUUAGGCGGGUCUUAUUCCGCUAGUUUAAUUAAGAAAAAAUAAAAAAUAAAAUAUUGUAUACAAUCCACACAGAAAUUUCACACAAAACAUAUCGAUCUUGUACACGGUGCGGCUUAGACAGAGAAGUGUUUCUUCCCAUCAAAACCCUCUUUCUCUCCAAGCGACCGAUCGAAGCCCCUAAGGAUGAUGAAGCAAAACACUCUCUCUCAUUCACUUUCUCGCUCUACAAAACACACUCUCUCUCCUUCUGAGGUCGGCCAGCGAGAGAGCUUUCUGAGUCUUCGAUUCUUCUUCAUCUGUGAAAGAUGCACUAGUACCGGUAGAUGAUUCAACAGUUCCUCUUUCCCUCCUUGAUGAAACCAGAACCUUUCUCUUCCCAAUUUCUAGUGUAGCGGCAAUAACUAGACGGUUGGAAACAAUUGGGGCUUUUUACCAUUGUCUCAGCCUCUGGUCACUUUCUAACUCUUGAAUUUGCCAUCAAUCGAAGCAAGUCUUGAGCCCUAAAUGAUAACACACGGCUCAGAUUCCUUUGUCUGAUCAGUAAGCAAACCGUAACUUUUUCUGUUCAAUUCCUUCCUCUUGAUUCCUUUUUCACACACACUCGCUAACACACACAUAUGUAUAUGUAUGUGUGUGUAUAUAUUGAACAUAUUUCAAUUGGAUUUUAUUUCUUUUCGUCAUUAAUCUAUGCUCGUUUGCUUUGAAAAAAAGAAAAAACAUAUAUAAGUAUUUGAUGGUGGACUUGUUGGAUCAGUUUACGAGGCUUUUAGGAUUAGUCUCAUCAUAGAAAUCCAAAAAAUUUGAUAUCAAAUGCUUAUAAAAAAUUUGAGAACAAGUUUGGAUUUUGGUGGAUUAGGAUCUUUAGAUUUUAUUUAUUUAACGUCGCUAAAUCAUUUGAAAUUAGAUAACCAAUACUAUGGUAAAAUUUCUUCAAAUUUUAGCAAUUUUUAAAAAAUUAAAUUAGAUGGAGACCUCUUAGCCUACCCUGGACCCCAAAGUAGGCAAUAGUUCAAUCAUUUCUUGUUGGACUGAGUGUGUAGCAUAUAGGUUUCAUCAACAUAUUUAUCUUAAUUUGCUGCUCAUCAUUGUGGAAUGUGGACCUCAGUUUUAAAGCAAAUUAAAUAAGCAGUGCUCCAUUGAUGUGGAUUAUUAUUCUCUUAAUGGAUUUGUCAAAAUGAGUCAAAAACAUGUGAUUUUAGAGGUAUACUUCGUUAAGCAGAAGAAAACAAAGUGUAUAAGAAAAAGAAAAGUUGGAAAGGAUAACCUUAAAAAGCUUUCUUUUAUCUCCUAGACUCCAAAGAUAACAAUGAGCAACAAGCAAGUGUUCAUUUGAAUACAUUUAUAAAUCAUAAUCCAACGUAAUAGAUAAGUGUUUUACAUUAAUUAAUAUUUCUUUGCCAUAAUGGGUGACGUGUGAAAAUCAUUUGUUGGUUAGUUAUUCAAAUUCCAACCAUUGUUAAUGAUAGCAUUCUCUACAUAUUUAAAUUACUUCUUCUAAGUUUGAUCUAGUGUUAUGUGUGUAUAUACAUAUUACAUACAUAUAUAUACACACACAUAUUCUAUUUCUUCUUUCCAUAAUCUUAAAUCUUUAACUAGGAAUUUAGGAGUUAAAAUUCAAAGCCACCAACACAUAGGUAGUCCGAUUAGUUUUUAUGUAUAAUUAAUUAUUAUAAGUCAAUUUAGAUCAAGAAUUAUUCAAGAUCAUUGUCUCUUUCUCAAAAGGCUUGUAGAGUACACCUCUAUGUAAUGUAUCUUUAGGCAUCUACGCACAUGAUAGGGUUGAUGUAAAAGCUAGCAAACUCUAUAAAUGAGGCUUUUUUUAAUAUAUGUAUUUAGUAUUAAUUUAUCAAAAAAAUGUAAUUAGUAUUAAUUUAUUAUUCCAAUAUUUCCUUAUUCUUCAUUUCAUAAUCUCCCUUAUCUUGUAAAUAUAUUUAGAUAAUGUUACUUAUUCUUUAUGGUUUAAUAUUUGUUUCUCCUUUAUGAUAAUGAAGCAAAAAUAUGUUAUAGAUGAUUAUAAUAUGAAAGAUACAUGGAGAGUAUGUGCGUCUUUAUAGAAUGAAAGUAAUAAAAGACGUAAGAAUUGUUGGACAAAAUGGUUACUCUGCAUUUGCCACCCCCCUCUUGAAGCCUGACAAUGCUAAGUCAAUGGAACAUUGGCAAUAAUGUUCUCAAGAGACUAUUGUAAGAACAUAGUAUAACAACUUUUGCAAUUUUUAUUUUAUAUUAAAUUAAACAACUUAUUUGUUUUCUAGGAAUGAAGCAAAAAAAUUUAAAUACUUGAGAGCUAAGAAAAUGUUGCUAUACACGCAACGAGCCGCAAGGGAUAUACUUGUUGAAAGAUGAAAUGGUAUUAUUAUUCAACUAAUUUAAAAUUUUCUUAUUGUCUGGAUGAGACUUUUUAUUCUGGUUUCUGGUGAUUUUUUAUUUUUUUUUCCUUCUCUUGUGAGUUCUACCUACUUAGUGCUAGCUUUUCUUUGUAACUUUUCUUUUCUUCCUCUUCUUUUUAUUUUUUUAUUUUUGAUGUUUCAAUUUUUAUUUUUUAGCUAAGGCAUCAACAAUUAAUGUUUCUAUGGUUGUUAAGUGUGUUGAAGUAGUUGCUUAAGUCGUAGCAGUAGUCUUGGUAGCAACAGUUGGCUUUAUGUGUGAAAGUAGUUCUAUUAGUAUUUUGAGAGUGAACUACUAAAAAUAAUCAAUUAGUAUUUUCUAAUCAAGUUACCUAAAUUUUAGUUGUUUUAUAAAAUGGAUUCGAUUGUUAUGGUCCCUUUUGGAUUGCUUUUUUUUUUUUUUUUCCUUUUAUAUGUUUAUGGAUUCAUGUUAGAUUUUGUAGCUCUAAUGAUACAUAUGAUAAAUUUUACAGGAUUUCAAGUUGUUUUCCAUUUGAAUCUCUCGUGUUAGUCUCAAUUGCAAUUGAUGUUUAUCUACUACUGUUUAUGUCUUUUGACAAAUCCUAACAAUUCUUUUAUAGCCUUAGAAGAAGAGAGGGGAAGUAAAAGAAAAGGAAAUAAAAUAAAGAAGCCUUGCAAAGAUUUUAACAAUAUACGUUACAAUGGAUUCUGACUAUUCGUUGUUGUUAAGAGAAUUAGAAUUGGAUUUUAUUUUUAUUGCUAAUCCUCAUGGACUAGAUCAAACGCAAAAUUUUUUACUUUUGAAUUUUAGGGUUUUAUUAAAUCUUUGGAGGUCUCUUGGGAAGAUUUCUGAAUGGCUUCAGCUGAUUAAGUUGAAUCAGUCUAUGCAGCUCACACUCAACGUCUUCAGAUUAGGCAAUCUUCCCAGAAAGAAGGCCAGUGCAGGAAUUUUAUGUUGUUGUUUUUACAACAACCUUGUAUAUCCAAGUUUUCCACAUUAAUCAUACAAGGUCAAAGCUAGGAUUGCGAGUUACGGGUGCAGUUACUUUUUUUGUUGCCGCUAUAUUUUUUGUAUAGUUCAUGAAGAAGAAGUUGCAAGAAGAUAUGAAGAAUUUUUGUUUUAAUUUGGUUAAGUAAAAUAUAUAAGGUGUGGAUCAUGUACUUCUUUCAAAUUUUUAUAUGGUUAAUUUUUGUAUAAAACAAUGAUUUGGAAUUGGUUAUAUAUAUAUGAGUUGUAAAUUAUUUUGGUUAUGAUGUUAUUUUAUUUUUAUUUAGGGUUUUGUUAG